CCUCUUGAAAAGAGGUUUAGGGUUCCUGGGGCGAUGGCGGGGAGCUGGAGGCGAUCACGCGCCCGCAUUUCGUCGAAUUGUGGUAGGGAUCACGCUGCUGUAGGCUAGAAUCUUGUUCGAGAGGUGGAUCGUCAUGGCUCUUGCGGUAAUCUCAGCGUCCUCGUCUUCUCUGCCCGGCACUGACCUCCUUUCUCCAAGAAAAUUGGGGGAGCAGGGCACGCAGCUCGCGAUCGGCAGUAGAGCCAGGCGUAGGUCUUUGAUCGCCAGCAGGAGCAGACCUGCAUUCCAAUGCUCGUAUUCGUCGGCAGCAGCAUCCCCGAGCUGGGAUCUGGAGUGGGAUCGUGAUGGGGGUGCUCUGGCGACCUCCAGGUCGGAGUUUUCGUCGCGCGAGCUCGCAAACAGCAGCAGCGGAACGGGAAAUUCCUCUACAUCGGUCUCCUGGGAAGGAAACUUGGAGAUGGAGAGAUUUAACGAGGCCAAGAUCAAAGUCAUUGGAGUGGGCGGUGGUGGAUCCAAUGCCGUCAACCGGAUGGUCCAGAGCGAGAUGAAAGGCGUGGAGUUUUGGAUCGUCAACACGGACGCACAGGCGAUGGCGAUGUCGCCGGUUCCAGCGCAAAACAGGCUACAGAUUGGACAGAAGCUCACGAGAGGAUUGGGUGCUGGUGGAAACCCGGAGAUUGGCAUGAGCGCCGCGGAAGAAAGCAAAGCCAUAGUCGAGGAAGCUGUUCGUGGAGCGGACAUGGUGUUCGUCACUGCUGGGAUGGGUGGUGGUACUGGCAGUGGAGCGGCUCCAGUGAUUGCGGGAGUGGCCAAGGAGCUGGGAGUGCUCACAGUUGGUAUUGUUACCACUCCUUUCUCGUUUGAGGGCCGUCGAAGAUCGAUACAGGCACAAGAGGCAACGGCUCUGCUGAAGAACAAUGUGGACACUCUGAUCACCAUUCCAAACGACAAGCUCUUGACUGCCGUGUCCCAGUCCACGCCUGUGACCGAAGCGUUCAACCUUGCGGAUGAUAUCCUGAGGCAAGGUGUCCGUGGUAUUUCGGACAUUAUAACGAUCCCUGGACUUGUGAAUGUUGAUUUCGCGGAUGUUCGUGCCAUCAUGGCCAAUGCUGGGUCGUCGCUCAUGGGAAUUGGAACUGCCACAGGGAAGUCCAGGGCCAGAGACGCCGCUCUGAAUGCCAUCCAGUCGCCAUUACUCGAUGUGGGAAUUGAGCGUGCCACUGGCAUUGUAUGGAACAUCACUGGAGGAACCGAUAUGACCCUGUUUGAGGUGAACGCGGCAGCAGAGGUUAUAUACGAUCUUGUAGACCCGAAUGCAAAUCUUAUAUUCGGUGCUGUUGUCGACGAUUCCUUCAACGGUCAUGUGAGCAUCACACUUAUUGCGACUGGAUUCAAGUCGCAAGAAGAACCAGACGUGCAACAACUCACUCGCCCAAGCCCACGUAGCAAACCUUCCAUCGCAUCGCCGUUGGGAAACAAUGGUGGAGCCACGCUAGAGAUUCCUAGCUUCUUGAGGAGACGGGGCCGCACUAGGUAGCAAGCACUGUACCAAGAAAGAAAUAAUCUCCACCGCCAAAUAUAUACAGCAUCAAACAUCUCAAGAUCAUGGAUCUAGCGAUCGUUGGCGUCUACAAAGAAAGAAAGUUAAAACUCGAUUGGAAAUCUAGACGGAAGUUGCGUGA